ACGGGUGAGUAACGCGUGGGAACGUGCCCUUCGGUUCGGAAUAACUCAGGGAAACUUGAGCUAAUACCGGAUACGUGCGAGAGCAGAAAGGUUUAUCUGCCGAAGGAUCGGCCCGCGUCUGAUUAGCUAGUUGGUGAGGCUAUGGCUCACCAAGGCGACGAUCAGUAGCUGGUCUGAGAGGAUGAUCAGCCACACUGGGACUGAGACACGGCCCAGACUCCUACGGGAGGCAGCAGUGGGGAAUAUUGGACAAUGGGGGCAACCCUGAUCCAGCCAUGCCGCGUGAGUGAUGACGGCCUUAGGGUUGUAAAGCUCUUUUCUCCGGGACGAUAAUGACGGUACCGGAGGAAUAAGCCCCGGCUAACUUCGUGCCAGCAGCCGCGGUAAUACGAAGGGGGCUAGCGUUGCUCGGAAUCACUGGGCGUAAAGGGCGCGUAGGCGGCUGAUUUAGUCGAGGGUGAAAGCCCGUGGCUCAACCACGGAAUGGCCUUCGAUACUGAUUGGCUUGAGACCGGAAGAGGACAGCGGAACUGCGAGUGUAGAGGUGAAAUUCGUAGA
rnacentral:rRNA from 1 species